GUGAAGUCAUUGAUGCCAUGCUUCCAGGAAAAGCCUCUAAGCUUCAGAUUGUAAGGAAUCGUACCCCAAACCGACACAGGUGGUCGGGUAGAGAAUACCAAGGCGCUUGAGAGAACUCGGGUGAAGGAACUAGGCAAAAUGGUACCGUAACUUCGGGAGAAGGUACGCUCUCGACGGUGAAGUCCCUCGCGGAUGGAGCUAUUGAGAGUCGCAGAUACCAGGUGGCUGCAACUGUUUAUUAAAAACACAGCACUGUGCAAAAUCGUAAGAUGACGUAUACGGUGUGACGCCUGCCCGGUGCCGGAAGGUUAAUUGAUGGGGUUAGACUUCGGUCGAAGCUCUUGAUCGAAGCCCCGGUAAACGGCGGCCGUAACUAUAACGGUCCUAAGGUAGCGAAAUUCCUUGUCGGGUAAGUUCCGACCUGCACGAAUGGCGUAAUGAUGGCCACGCUGUCUCCACCCGAGACUCAGUGAAAUUGAAAUCGCUGUGAAGAUGCAGUGUACCCGCGGCUAGACGGAAAGACCCCGUGAACCUUUACUACAGCUUGGCACUGAACAUUGACCCUACAUGUGUAGGAUAGGUGGGAGGCUUUGAAGCACGUACGCCAGUAUGUGUGGAGCCGUCCUUGAAAUACCACCCUUGUAGUGUUGAUGUUCUAACGUCGACCCCUUAUCGGGGUUGCGGACAGUGCCUGGUGGGUAGUUUGACUGGGGCGGUCUCCUCCCAAAGAGUAACGGAGGAGCACGAAGGUGGGCUAAUCACGGUUGGACAUCGUGAGGUUAGUGCAAUGGCAUAAGCCCGCUUGACUGCGAGAAUGACAAUUCGAGCAGGUGCGAAAGCAGGUCAUAGUGAUCCGGUGGUUCUGAAUGGAAGGGCCAUCGCUCAACGGAUAAAAGGUACUCCGGGGAUAACAGGCUGAUACCGCCCAAGAGUUCAUAUCGACGGCGGUGUUUGGCACCUCGAUGUCGGCUCAUCACAUCCUGGGGCUGAAGUCGGUCCCAAGGGUAUGGCUGUUCGCCAUUUAAAGUGGUACGCGAGCUGGGUUUAGAACGUCGUGAGACAGUUCGGUCCCUAUCUGCCGUGGGCGUUGGAAGAUUGAAGGGGGCUGCUCCUAGUACGAGAGGACCGGAGUGGACGAACCUCUGGUGUUCGGGUUGUGUCGCCAGACGCAUUGCCCGGUAGCUAAGUUCGGAAUCGAUAACCGCUGAAAGCAUCUAAGCGGGAAGCGAGCCCUGAGAUGAGUCUUCCCUGAUACUUUAAGUAUCCUAAAGGGUUGUCGGAGACUACGACGUUGAUAGGUCAGGUGUGUAAGUGCUGUGAGGCAUUGAGCUAACUGAUACUAAUUGCCCGUGAGGCUUAACCAU
rnacentral:rRNA from 6 species